rnacentral:rRNA from 1 species
CGAGGGGGCGGAGCGUUAUUCAAAAUGACUGGGCGUAAAGAGCACGUAGGCGGUCCAUGUAAUUGGUGCUUUCUAUUUUUACUAUUGUGAAAAUGGCAGAUGACUUUAUUUUAUUUAAUAAAGGUAAAGGGUUUUGAAAAGCCCACGGCUUUACCGUGGAAACAACACAAUAUUCUUGGACUAGAGUAAGUGAGAGGAAAGUGGAAUUCCUGGAGGAGAGGUAAAUUUGUAGAUUUCAGGAGGAACGUCGAAAGCGAAAGCAACUUUCUGGCACUUUACUAACGCUGAGGUGCGAAAGCGUGGGAGCAAAAGGGAUU